rnacentral:rRNA from 1 species
AGUGAACGCUGGCGGUAGGCCUAACACAUGCAAGUCGAACGGCAGCACAGAGGAGCUUGCUCCUUGGGUGGCGAGUGGCGGACGGGUGAGGAAUACAUCGGAAUCUACUCUGUCGUGGGGGAUAACGUAGGGAAACUUACGCUAAUACCGCAUACGACCUACGGGUGAAAGCAGGGGAUCUUCGGACCUUGCGCGAUUGAAUGAGCCGAUGUCGGAUUAGCUAGUUGGCGGGGUAAAGGCCCACCAAGGCGACGAUCCGUAGCUGGUCUGAGGGAAUGAUCAGCCACACUGGAACUGAGACACGGUCAAGACUCCUACGGGAGGCAGCAGUGGGGAAUAUUGGACAAUGGGCGCAAGCCUGAUCCAGCCAUACCGCGUGGGUGAAGAAGGCCUUCGGGUUAUAAAGCCCUUUUGUUGGGAAAGAAAUCCAUCUGGUUAAUACCCGGGUGGGAUGACGGUACCCAAAGAAUAAGCACCGGCUAACUUCGUGCCAGCCGCCGCCGUAA